GUAAAAAAAACCAACAAAUUAAGAUUAUAUUUGUCCAGUUCGAUAAAUAUAUUAUAAAAGGAUAAAAAAAAAUCCCCGGAUGGAGUGACUUAAAAUCAAUUAAAUAUUAUCCACAUCAUUAUCCAAAAGCGUUAGUUGCUCUACAUAACAAUUUUCAGACAUUCUUUUACAAUUUAUUUUUCUGGCGCGUGCUCAUUUCCUGCGAGUUGGCUGAACCUUAAGGUUGUGAUUAGAGGUGAAAAUUUGGGCGUAAAAGUAAUCACACGCGUUCUUAAGAUGUGUGAAAUCCACGUUCGGUGUUGAUGCCACAAGCGUCGGCUUUCCAGGCAGGUGGGUUCCACUCAUGCAGGGAAGGCAACUUGGUUUAAUAUCAUCGGCGAAGAGGGAGUUAACGGUGUUCUUCUUCUAUGUUUUUGAGUGGGGGCAAGAAAAUCAGGAGUACUAAAAAAUGCUCGUACAUUACACGGUACCUCCUCUAAAACGUCUUAAAAUACAUUUUUUUAACAUUUUUUUAAAACUUUUUUAAAGAAUUCAUAUAAAAAA
rnacentral:lncRNA from 1 species